rnacentral:rRNA from 1 species
UAUGUUAAGACUAGCCAUGCACGUCUAGUACAAACUAAAUGAUGGUGAAACUGCAAAUGGCUCAUUACAACGGUUAUGAUGUACCCGGGAGUUCCGAUGGAUAUUUCCAGUAACACUAGAACUAAUACAUGUCCCUGCGUUUAUUAGUUUCGCACAGUCCGUCGCUGAGUCAUGGUAAACAGUUGAUCGACUCGACGUCCCGGAACAGUUUCCGCCCCAUCAGCUUCGAUGGUUGGGUAUUGGCCUACCAUUGCAACAACGGGUAACGAGGAAUUAGGGUUUGAUUUCGGAGAGGGAGCCUGAGAAACGGCUACCACAUCUACGGAUGGCAGCAGGCGCGCAAAUUACCCAAUGCAGACACUGUGAGGUAGUGACGAGAAAUAAUAAAGCGGGACUUCUGUUUCGCUAUUAUAAUGAGGAAUAACCAAAGGUCAUUCCGAUUAGCAACUGAUGGGAAAGUCUGGUGCCAGCAGCCGCGGUAAUACCAGCGUCAGUAGCAU